UUAAGUUAGAAAGGGCGCACGGUGGAUGCCUUGACACUAGGAGUCGAUGAAGGACGGGACUAACGCCGAUAUGCUUCGGGGAGCUGUAAGUAAGCUUUGAUCCGAAGAUUUCCGAAUGGGGAAACCCACUAUACGUAAUGGUAUGGUAUUCUUACCUGAAUACAUAGGGUAUGGAAGACAGACCCAGGGAACUGAAACAUCUAAGUACCUGGAGGAAGAGAAAGCAAAUGCGAUUUCCUGAGUAGCGGCGAGCGAAACGGAACAUAGCCCAAACCAAGAGGCUUGCCUCUUGGGGUUGUAGGACAUUCUAUACGGAGUUACAAAGGAACGAGGUAGACGAAGCGACCUGGAAAGGUCCGUCGUAGAGGGUAACAACCCCGUAGUCGAAACUUCGUUCUCUCUUGAAUGUAUCCUGAGUACGGCGGAACACGUGAAAUUCCGUCGGAAUCUGGGAGGACCAUCUCCCAAGGCUAAAUACUCCCUAGUGAUCGAUAGUGAACCAGUACCGUGAGGGAAAGGUGAAAAGCACCCCGGAAGGGGAGUGAAAGAGAUCCUGAAACCGUGUGCCUACAAAUAGUCAGAGCCCGUUAAUGGGUGAUGGCGUGCCUUUUGUAGAAUGAACCGGCGAGUUACGAUCCCGUGCGAGGUUAAGCUGAAGAGGCGGAGCCGCAGCGAAAGCGAGUCUGAAUAGGGCGUUUAGUACGUGGUCGUAGACCCGAAACCAGGUGAUCUACCCAUGUCCAGGGUGAAGUUCAGGUAACACUGAAUGGAGGCCCGAACCCACGCACGUUGAAAAGUGCGGGGAUGAGGUGUGGGUAGCGGAGAAAUUCCAAUCGAACCUGGAGAUAGCUGGUUCUCCCCGAAAUAGCUUUAGGGCUAGCCUUAAGUGUAAGAGUCUUGGAGGUAGAGCACUGAUUGAACUAGGGGUCCUCAUCGGAUUACCGAAUUCAGUCAAACUCCGAAUGCCAAUGACUUAUCCUUAGGAGUCAGACUGCGAGUGAUAAGAUCCGUAGUCAAGAGGGAAACAGCCCAGAUCGCCAGCUAAGGUCCCAAAGUGUGUAUUAAGUGGAAAAGGAUGUGGAGUUGCUUAGACAACUAGGAUGUUGGCUUAGAAGCAGCCACCAUUUAAAGAGUGCGUAAUAGCUCACUAGUCGAGUGACUCUGCGCCGAAAAUGUACCGGGGCUAAAUACACCACCGAAGCUGCGAAUUGAUACCAAUGGUAUCAGUGGUAGGGGAGCGUUCUAAGUGCAGUGAAGUCAGACCGGAAGGACUGGUGGAGCGCUUAGAAGUGAGAAUGCCGGUAUGAGUAGCGAAAGACGGGUGAGAAUCCCGUCCACCGAAUGCCUAAGGUUUCCUGAGGAAGGCUCGUCCGCUCAGGGUUAGUCAGGACCUAAGCCGAGGCCGACAGGCGUAGGCGAUGGACAACAGGUUGAUAUUCCUGUACCACCUCUUUAUCGUUUGAGCAAUGGAGGGACGCAGAAGGAUAGAAGAAGCGUGCGAUUGGUUGUGCACGUCCAAGCAGUUAGGCU
rnacentral:rRNA from 1 species